AACGAACGCUGGCGGCAUGCCUAACACAUGCAAGUCGAACGAGAUCUUCGGGUCUAGUGGCGCACGGGUGCGUAACGCGUGGGAAUCUGCCCUUUGGUUCGGAAUAACAGUUGGAAACGACUGCUAAUACCGGAUGAUGACGAAAGUCCAAAGAUUUAUCGCCAGAGGAUGAGCCCGCAUAGGAUUAGCUAGUUGGUGUGGUAAAGGCGCACCAAGGCGACGAUCCUUAGCUGGUCUGAGAGGAUGAUCAGCCACACUGGGACUGAGACACGGCCCAGACUCCUACGGGAGGCAGCAGUGGGGAAUAUUGGACAAUGGGCGAAAGCCUGAUCCAGCAAUGCCGCGUGAGUGAUGAAGGCCUUAGGGUUGUAAAGCUCUUUUACCCGGGAUGAUAAUGACAGUACCGGGAGAAUAAGCUCCGGCUAACUCCGUGCCAGCCGCCGUUGUAA
rnacentral:rRNA from 1 species